AUUGAACGCUGGCGGCAGGCCUAACACAUGCAAGUCGAGCGGAUGAAGGGAGCUUGCUCCUGGAUUCAGCGGCGGACGGGUGAGUAAUGCCUAGGAAUCUGCCUGGUAGUGGGGGAUAACGUCCGGAAACGGGCGCUAAUACCGCAUACGUCCUGAGGGAGAAAGUGGGGGAUCUUCGGACCUCACGCUAUCAGAUGAGCCUAGGUCGGAUUAGCUAGUUGGUGGGGUAAAGGCCUACCAAGGCGACGAUCCGUAACUGGUCUGAGAGGAUGAUCAGUCACUGGGAAAGGAAACAGCGGCCCUGGCACUGAGGGAAGGCAGGGAUGGGAAAAAUUGGCAAAAGGGGGAAAGCCUGCACAAGCGGUGACGGCGGUAUGAAGAGGGGCUGCGAGUGGGAAAACGUUUUAAGUGGGGAAAAAGGGAAUUAGCUUAAGACCUUGGUGUUUGACGUUUCCCACAAAAGAAGCACCCGGUAAAUUCGUG
rnacentral:rRNA from 1 species